rnacentral:tmRNA from 1 species
GGGGUCGACAAGGUAUCGACGGGAUUAACUGAGUAUAGAUUGCAAGUCGAGGCACACGUAAAUGCAUUCAGUAAAUAACUGGAAACAAAAUUAAAAAUGCAUUCGCUGCACUAUUCAACAGAAAUGCUGAAUCAGCUGUAGCUUUUGCCUAGUAUAACCUAGAGCAGAUGCGCUUCUUUUAUUUCUUUUCCUACGGGAAAUCUAAGAGGCUAAUUUAGUAGGAUAUAUUACUGUGAUGUCUAUAAGCAGUAAUGAAUUUUAUAGGCUUGCUAUGUGAUAACUUGUUAAUUAGUUUUUCAUAUAGUGAAAUUUCUUAAUUAACUAAACUUGUAGAAGUCUAUAUGUGGUUUUUUUCGGACGGGAGUUCGAUUCUCCCCGACUCCACCA